GGGAAACGUGGGAUUGUCGGGAAAGCCGGGUCCGAAGGGAGAAGUUGGAGCCCCAGGAGAGCCGGGAGUGAGAGGAAUCCGGGGUCCUCCGGGGCUCCCGGGAACCAAAGGGGAUCCGGGAAAAUCUGGGAAAGACG